rnacentral:rRNA from 1 species
UACAGAGGGUGCAAGCGUUAAUCGGAGUUACUGGGCGUAAAGGGCGCGUAGGCGGUUGUAUAAGUGAGAUGUGAAAGCCCUGGGCUUAACCUAGGAAUUGCAUCUUAUACUGUAUGACUGGAGUACUGUAGAGGGUAGUGGAAUUUCCGGUGUAGCGGUGAAAUGCGUAGAGAUCGGAAGGAACACCAGUGGCGAAGGCGGCUACCUGGACAGAUACUGACGCUGAGGCGCGAAAGGCGUGGGGAGCAAACAGG